rnacentral:lncRNA from 1 species
AGGAAUGCGCGUGGUGAUAGGAAGAGAGAAAGGAAGCCCAUGACAGGCUCAAAAUUCUUUGCCUUAGUUCGGAAACGUUAGGGGAUCUAUGAAAUUUCCCACUUCAUCAACGACACCCAAUGCCAGAGAACUAAGGUCUCUUUCUUUGAUUAGCAGAAAUCAGAGACACCCAACUCUACUACUCACAGCCCAGCCUUCACCUAAACGGCCAUCUCCC